rnacentral:tRNA from 1 species
GGAUCCGAAAGUCUGGCUUGACCGCUGCCCUCCGAAGGCAGAGGCCAGGGGUUCGAAUCCCUUCGGGUGCGCCA